rnacentral:lncRNA from 1 species
CGCAUAUUCGUACAGAAUGUUCACUCGAGAUACGCGGUUGUACCCUGUGAUCUGUUUUUGAAACAUGUGUGCAUAUAGUGUGUACAUAGACGUUACGUUGUUUUAGCAUAGGAAGAAGGGAGUGUCGACACCCCAUCCGGGAAAAAUGCGAGGGAGGAGCUGCGCGAAUCGCCAGCGGCAUAAGUUCGUUGGGAGUGUGCAUGGAUAAUUGGUUACACGCUAAUUCACCGAAGCUUGCGUUACCCACCCCCCAAAUCAGGUGAAUUCCACCCUCCCCUCGGACUUUUUCCUGCUCGAAAAUCGAAGUUUCAACUACAUUACCAGUGGCAAUAUCAGGCAAACUCGAAGACCAGAUCGAUAUGACCACAUCAUCGAUGAAAAUUGCAAGGUGGAUUAAGUACCAUGGUCCUCAACGUUCUUGCAUUUUAAAGGGAUGUUGAUGUUGUGUGAUAGGGCUCUGCUUCCAAGGAAUCCUCAGAAUCGCUUGCAGCCAUGUCGAUUGUCGCCCGCCAAAAUAAUACUCCUCCCACGUAUGAUUUUGAGGCCACCUUACCGAUGAUGUUGAAUUAAUGUCCUUCCGAAAAUAUCUGAAGCAAACUGACAAACAUUUUCGAUACCCCCUUUCUGAUCGCAUGCUUUGAUAUUAUGUCACCAGCUGGACUCAUUUGAUUGCAUUCUUGCCGUCGCCUUGUCAGAGUCUUGCCAUUGCCUUAUC